GCCCGGAGUCGUGACUGGCGCAUCGAGGUGGAACUGACCACCGGGGAGCGAUCGAGCGGAACGGUGCCGCGCGCCUGGGCACCCCCG
rnacentral:ncRNA from 14 species